GAAGUGGAGAACCGUUACCAAGGAAACCCUCUGAAAGGAACGUGUUACUACACCCUGCUGAUAGACUACCAGUUCACCUUCAGUCUGUCUCAGGAGGACGACCGCUACUACACCUCCAUCAACUUUGUAGCCACACCCGAGGAGCAGAAUCGUGAUCUGGUUGUUUUCAUUAACGCCUCCAAGAACUUCAACCUCAACAUCACCUGGGCCGCCAGCUUCACAGCAGGUACUCAGACAGGCGAGGAGAUCCCAAUAAUAUCCAGGAGCAACAUCAAGGAGUUUAAAGACAGUUUCUCCAACGAGAACUUUGACUUCCGCAACAACCCAAACAUCACCUUCUUCGUCUAUGUCAGCAACUUCACCUGGCCCAUCAAG